rnacentral:rRNA from 1 species
GGUCACUGCUAUUGGGAUUUGACUAAGCCAUGCGAGUCUAGAGGGUUCGGCCCUCGUCAGACGGCUCAUUAACACGUGGAUGAUCUGUCCUUACGUACAGGAUAAUCUCGGGAAACUGACAAUAAUACUCCAUAGAUCAUGGAUGCUGGAAUGCACCUUGGUUGAAAGUUCCGGCGCCUAAGGAUGAGUCUGCGGACUAUCAGGCUGUAGUCAGGGUAAAGACCUGACUAACCUACGACGGAUAUGGGUUGUGAGAGCAAUAACCCACAGACGAUAUCUGAGACACGAUAUCGGGCCCUACGGGGCGCAGCAGGCGCGAAAACUUCACACUGUGCGAAAGCGCGAUGAGGGAAUCCCAAGUGUUUGCUCGUAAGAGUAAACUGUUUCUUUGUUUAAAACGCAGAGAGAGUAAGGGCUGGGUAAGACGGGUGCCAGCCGCCGCGGUAAUACCUGCAGCUCAAGUGGUGAUCAUUAUUAUUGGGCCUAAAACGUCCGUAGCCGGUUUAGUAAAUGCCUGGGUAAAUCGUGUAGCUUAACUAUACGACUUCCGGGUAGACUACUACACUUGAGACCGGGAGAGGCUAGAGGUACUCCUGGGGUAGAGGUGAAAUUCUGUAAUCCUAGGGGGACCACCAGUGGCGAAGGCGUCUAGCUAGAACGGGUCUGACGGUGAGGGACGAAGCCCUGGGGCACAAACCGGAUUAGAUACCCGGGUAGUCCAGGGUGUAAACGCUGCUUGCUUGAUGUUAGUUGGGCUCCGAUCCCAACUAGUGUCGGAGACAAGUUGUUAAGCAUGCUGCCUGGGCAGUACCGUCGCACGGCUGACACUUCAA